AGCAGCCGCGGUAAUUCCAGCUCCAAUAGCGUAUAUUAAAGUUGUUGCAGUUAAAAAGCUCGUAGUUGAAUUUCGGGAUUGACACAUCGGUCGUGCCUUAAGGGGUAUGAACUGGUGUAGUCAAUUUCUCACCUUCUGGAGAACCGCAAUGCCCUUAAUUGGGUGUCGCGGGGAACCAGGACCUUUACUUUGAAAAAAUUAGAGUGUUUAAAGCAGGCAUUUUGCUUGAAUACAUUAGCAUGGAAUAAUAAAAUAGGACGGCAUGAUUCUAUUUUGUUGGUUUCUAGGAUCACCGUAAUGAUUAAUAGGGAUAGUUGGGGGCAUUAGUAUUCAAUUGUCAGAGGUGAAAUUCUUGGAUUUAUUGAAGACUAACUACUGCGAAAGCAUUUGCCAAGGAUGUUUUCAUUAAUCAAGAACGAAAGUUAGGGGAUCGAAGACGAUCAGAUACCGUCGUAGUCUUAACCAUAAACUAUGCCGACUAGGAAUCAGACGAUGUUAAUUUUUUAAUGACUCGUUUGG
rnacentral:misc_RNA from 1 species